GACGAACGCUGGCGGCGUGCUUAACACAUGCCAGUCGAACGGCAAGGCCCUGCUUUUGUGGGGUGCUCGAGUGGCGAACGGGUGAGUAACACGUGAGUAACCUGCCCUAGUCUUUGGGAUAACUUCAGGAAACGGGGGCUAAUACCGGAUAGCAGCCCCUGUUGCAUGGAGGGGGUUGGAACGUUUCGGCGGUAGGGGAUGGACUCGCGGCUUACCAGCUUGCUGGUGGGGUAGUGGCUUACCCAGUCUUUGACGGGUAGCCGGCCUGGGAGGGGGACCGGCCACAUUGGUACUGAGGGACGGCCCAGUCUCCUACGGGAGGCAGCGGUGGGGAAUAUUGCACAAUGGGCGGGAGCCUGAUGCAGCAACGCCGCGUGCGGAAUGACGGCCUUCGGGUUGUAAACCGCUUUCGCCUGUGACGAAGCGUGAGUGACGGUAAUGGGUAAAGAAGCACCGGCUAACUACGUG
rnacentral:rRNA from 1 species